rnacentral:rRNA from 1 species
GACGAACCGUCCAAACGUUAUUCGGAAUCACUGGGCUUAAAGGGUGCGUAGGCGGUCGGACAAGUUGGGUGUGAAAGCCCUCAGCUCAACUGAGGAACUGCGCCCAAAACUGUUCGACUUGAGGGAGACAUAGGUGAGCGGAACUUAGGGUGGAGCGGUGAAAUGCGUUGAGAUCCUAAGGAACACCAGUAGCGAAAGCGGCUCACUGGGUCUCUUCUGACGCUGAUGCACGAAAGCUAGGGGAG